rnacentral:rRNA from 1 species
UACGUAGGGCGCAAGCGUUCUCCGGAAUUAUUGGGCGUAAAGAGCUCGUAGGCGGUUUGUCGCGUCUGCUGUGAAAGACCGGGGCUCAACUCCGGUUCUGCAGUGGGUACGGGCAGACUAGAGUGCAGUAGGGGAGACUGGAAUUCCUGGUGUAGCGGUGAAAUGCGCAGAUAUCAGGAGGAACACCGAUGGCGAAGGCAGGUCUCUGGGCUGUAACUGACGCUGAGGAGCGAAAGCAUGGGGAGCGAACAGG